CACGUAGGCGGCUUUCUAAGUCAGGGGUGAAAUCCUGGAGCUCAACUCCAGAACUGCCUUUGAUACUGGAGAGCUCGAGUCCGGGAGAGGUGAGUGGAACUGCGAGUGUAGAGGUGAAAUUCGUAGAUAUUCGCAAGAACACCAGUGGCGAAGGCGGCUCACUGGCCCGGUACUGACGCUGAGGUGCGAAAACGUGGGGAGCAAACAGGAUUAGAUACCCUGGUAGCCCACGCCGUAAACGAUGGAUGCUAGCCGUUGGCAGGCUUGCCUGUCAGUGGCGCAGCUAACGCUUUAAGCAUCCCGCCUGGGGAGUACGGUCGCAAGAUUAAA
rnacentral:rRNA from 1 species